GCAGGAGGACUGAGGGCUUUCAGGUCACUGUGUUGCAGGAACAGUAGACUGCUUUUCGGAUUAAACGGUGGCUGGCAGCUUGCAAAGGAUGCUCAACAGAAAAGAAGGAUUCAAAGUGCACAUCCAGAGGGAAAGAAUGAGACAGACAGAAAACUUAACAACUUCGUAAUAUCAUGCUACACUGCACCUCAUGUUUACUGCAACAACAAUCCUGCAUCAAUGACAGGACUCCCUGUCUAUUGUUUCAGUCACUCAGCGCUGGACUCCAUUCUCUGCAAGCUACGUGAUAUGUCUCAAGAGAAUUAUUUUUCAGUAAAAACAUUUGAAAUCAACUCAGCAAGCUGGUGAAAUGAGAAACAGCAGCUGGGAAAAUUGCAGAAGUCCAAGUAAAAGUAAGUUUUAAAACAUAAUUUAAUCAAAGGCAGACAAGAUCAGUCAUGAAGUUAGAAAGAACUUUCAAAUGAAUGACAAGCCACUGUUAACUAGCUGAGCUUUGCUGAGAAAACAAACCAAUUUGUCUGAAAACAAAGAAGAAGAGAAUCGUGCUGGAAUGUCAUGCAUACAAUAUAAU
rnacentral:lncRNA from 1 species